UUAACACAUGCAAGUCGAGGGGCAGCAUUUCAGUUUGCUUGCAAACUGGAGGUGGCGACCGGCGCACGGGUGAGUAACACGUAUCCAACCUGCCGAUAACUCGGGGAUAGCCUUUCGAAAGAAAGAUUAAUACUCGAUGGUAUAAUUAGACCGCAUGGUCUAAUUAUUAAAGAAUUUCGGUUAUCGAUGGGGAUGCGUUCCAUUAGGCAGUUGGUGAGGUAACGGCUCACCAAACCUUCGAUGGAUAGGGGUUCUGAGAGGAAGGUCCCCCACAUUGGAACUGAGACACGGUCCAAACUCCUACGGGAGGCAGCAGUGAGGAAUAUUGGUCAAUGGGCGCAGGCCUGAACCAGCCAAGUAGCGUGAAGGAUGACUGCCCUAUGGGUUGUAAACUUCUUUUAUAUGGGAAUAAAGUUUUCCACGUGUGGAAUUUUGUAUGUACCAUAUGAAUAAGGAUCGGCUAACUCCGUGCCAGCAGCCGCGGUAAUACGGAGGAUCCGAGCGUUAUCCGGAUUUAUUGGGUUUAAAGGGAGCGUAGGUGGACAGUUAAGUCAGUUGUGAAAGUUUGCGGCUCAACCGUAAAAUUGCAGUUGAUACUGGCUGUCUUGAGUACAGUAGAGGUGGGCGGAAUUCGUGGUGUAGCGGUGAAAUGCUUAGAUAUCACGAAGAACUCCGAUUGCGAAGGCAGCUCACUGGACUGCAACUGACACUGAUGCUCGAAAGUGUGGGUAUCAA
rnacentral:rRNA from 1 species